rfam:Devosia limi DSM 17137 NODE_62, whole genome shotgun sequence.
CGAUUUGCAUACUGCCUUGGGGUUCCCUAUAUUGGAGGGGCUCGCAAGAGCUAUGGCGAUAAACUGUCAUCGUAAUAAACCUUUCGGACCCGGGGGCAGUACCCGGCGCCUCCACCAUCUUACCCGGCAACGGGGCAGCCAAUGGGGGCGAAACAGGAUCGACGAGGGCGUAAAGGGUGUGCUUUUGCUCGGUGAGGUACCACCGUUAUCGGUCCGAAACUUAUAGUUGCAAAUGACAACCAUAAGGCUCCAGUCGCUCUCGCUGCGUAAGCAGUGCUAGCAUUGGGAAAUUAAGUCCUCCGCUCCUAGCCGGGCGACAGGCGGGGUCCGCAGGCACCUGGCAACAGAAGCCUGCACC